GCCACAACUGCCAUCCCAGGCACUUGGCUGGAGACAGCGAGCAGCCAACAUGCUCUGCUGCUUUCCCAGGCCUCGAGGCCCCAGCCUCAGGACCCCGCAUGGAAAAGCCACUUGGGAACGAGGGAGAGGAUGGUUCGCUCGGCCCAGAUGCUUCAGCACCCGCACCAGGAACCGCCCAACUGUCAUGGGCAGCACAGGGCAGGGCUCGGCAGCUCCGGCCCCCAGGCACUCAGAGACAAGAGGGAGCCCAGGACAGGUGUCCCUAGGCUCUGCCACCAGCCACUCUGAACCGUCGUGUCCAGGACAGGCCCAUUUAGGCCUGGCCACCACUAUUGGAAGUCAGUCAGCAGAGAGCCUGGCAGAGGUCUGCACAGUGAGCACGGUGCAGGCAGGGCCGCCACACGCUCUGACGGAGCCCCUGGAGCCGGCCUUCCUGGACAGCGGCCCCAGCCCCGGCCCCUUCUUCCUGGACUCCUCAAGGGCCGACACCUCCACCCCACAGGCCCUGAUGGUGGGAAGGUCCACCGUUCCUGUCCUUGACUCUGCACUGGAGCUGCACUCCCAGGUGGAGCCCCAGGCUGAGCUUGUCUUCCACCAGCUGGAGCCCCCUGAGCCCCCUGAGGCUGAGCCCCGGGGGUCAGCUCCAGCCCACGCUGAAGUCCCAGCUACAGAGCUGGUGCCAGCUCCACCUGCAGCUCCCUCACCAGCUCUGGUCCCACAGCAAGAGUCGGCACCUGGAUCUCCUUUGCCGCCAGCUGCAGAGCCGGAACUCCUGGUGGCUCCACCGCAGGGGUCAUCUCUUCAGCUCUACCUGGAGGCAGCUCUUGACCCAUACCUGCCAUUCCCUUGUCUUCCAGAUUUACUUAUUAUUGUAUUUACUGCUACCCUCACUUCCCUGAGAUAUGCCGAUGAUAGAAUUAAUGUAAAUAAAGCUUAGGAUUUUAUCCUUAUUUGAAAUAAUCAGAU
ensembl:lincRNA formin-like protein 6